GCUGCCUGGCCAGGGCGACUGGCGGAUAAGGUCUUGUGCGUGGCCUCGAGGCUUAAAAGUAGCAGUGGGGCUUUGUGAAGGACAAAAUGGCGAUGGCGGGCCGUGUAGGUCCCCCUUCCUAUGAUGAGGACCUUUUCACAGACCUGUACUGAGCUCCGUGAGGAUAAAUAACUCUGAGGAGAUGGGCCCUGCAAGCCUCUUGCUUAGCCGUCUGUUCAGAAAAUAGCGUUUUCGAAAUGCCCUGAGUUGACCUAAUGUCUUAUUGGGCUCCUGUCUGCAGGAUUUACGCGCACGUUGGAACCGAAGAGAGCUCUGUUGUUGCAAUGUUCAGCCCACAAGAGCUUACUGGUGAAGGAAUGGGACAAGACCCAUCUUUAUGCAAAGCCAGCGUUACAGUAAUGUUCCAGCAUCUCAUAAUCUAUCCUGGGGAAUUCAGCUGCCUCCCAGGGUGAAUACAGGUAUUCCUGAUGACAGUCUGCCUCUAUCUUACAGAGCAGCUUGUUGCUAUAUACCAUUGAAAAGCCUUCAGAGCUGAGAGGUUAGUUGAUAUUUUUUGUUCCUUACAGCUUAUGCCACCAAGUAGGCAGUUUCUAUGAUGAAUCAAACUAGCUCACUAUGACCGACAGUGAAAAUACAUGAACACCUGAGAAACUGGAGAACGCAGGGAGUGGGGGGUAACCAUGUCUGAGGAAUCUUUCACCCACAGCUUUGUUUUUCUCUAGGUACUACUAACCAAUAACCUGCUUGGCUCAAAGGGCCAGCACCUUCUCUCUAAAGCCCAAGAGGAGUUUGAGGAAAACUAGGUGUCUGUGUUCACUCCAGGCUGAAGUUACAGGUCUGAGCAAAUAAGGUGUAUAAAAAAUGGAAUCUGUCUUGGAGGACAUCAGAAGGUGAAUUUUCCAAGUUCUUGGACAACCUAGCUGUUGAAAAGCUUUCUGGGUUUGGGGGGUAUUUCAGAUGUACCUUAAAGUGUUAGCAGACACAGAUUAAGACACUGGGAGCCAAUGAAACAGCAGUUGAGGGUUUGCUGUGUAUCACAUUUCUGUAUUUUAUCACCCCCUUCCUGCAACAUUAUUUAUCUGGAAUCUACCUGCCCUUUUGUUUUUUAGAUACAAGGGCUUGGUUUUGUUACCCAGGCUGGUUUCAAGGCCAUAGCUUUAAGAGAUCCUCUCACCACAGAUUUCCAAAGUGCUGGGAUUGCAGGUGUGAUUCAUGGCACCCAGACUUUGCUGCCUUUCUUACAUGAUCCAGGCCCAGAACCCAAACUCAGGCACUGUAUAGAUGACCACUUUCGUAAACUACUGACCUAGCUUGUUGCCAAUUGUUGAUUGAACUUCCCAUAACUCCACUUCGUGUCUGUUCCUCUGUAUACAGCCACCUUCUGUUCCCGUCAUGAGCCUUUAGGUCUCCAUUUGCAUAUUGCAAAUACUAUGUUCCAUGUAGGUAGCUCAUUCAGGGCCUUGCUCUUCACUUCAAAAAAGGUUCCCUUGAGGACUGG
rnacentral:lncRNA from 1 species